CAACUCUGUGCCAACCAGCUUCAGAAUGGCGAUGUGCCUCAGGCCUGUGUAACCAUGGAAACCAUUUUUUGAAAAGACAUCAGAAUGAGGCAAACAAUUUUUAGACAACAGCAUGACUUCAAAUGAGAACAGCAGUAUGCUGACCAACUGUUCCUUAUCAGUCUGCUUAUUUAGGCUGAUUGUUACUUAUUUGUUAUUGGAACUGUCCUAAGCACUGGUCUCUAGGUAAAGGGAGGAGAAUGUGAUGGUGGUCCGGAAAGCCCUGCCAAAAAAGCUGUUUCCUCUGAAGUGAGAAAGCCCACAUUAAACACAGGAGAACGCUGGCUUCACUUGGUGAGCGCCAAGUGCUGAAUACCAGGAUCAAACCUCUCAGUCAGCAGGACAGGCCUUUGUGUGGGAUGAGGGAGCGAGGGGGCAGCCCUGGGUGCUAAACCAGCCAAGAGCAACACACGAAGGGAAAAAAGUCCCAGUAGAACCUAAACUGGAUCUAGUGUUAAAGCAAGAAAAGCUGAUUUUUUCAAUCAUCUGACUUGACUUAAAUAAAAACAGUGUACACUCAAACAGAUAAAUGGUAGCACUUUCUAGGAAGUUAUAUUUCAUGAGAGCUUUAUAAGCUAGGACAAAUGAUAAAUAAUCUGUUAAUGCUUCACAGAUCAACAGUAAGCUAAAAAUAUUUUUUUAUCAUUGCAAGGUUGUAAAAAAUUGCUUUGGCUUAAAUAUAAACCCCUAUUUAAUGCCCCUGUGUACACACAGUGUAUGUGUGUUUGAAGGUGAAACAGGCAUGAAACAUUCAAAAAGACAGGGCAGUGAAAGAUUACUUGUCAUCUUGUUCACUAGCCCUUAAGGUCAGAAACUGAUAUAAUGUAAUUGUAGAUUUAAUGGCUGAUUGUUACAAAUAAAACAUCUGACUCAAGGUCAAGCUCAUACACGUGAAAGACCAUUUAGUGUUGCAGAAGCAACAAAAGUCUGAAGGGAGCCAGGAAGAAAUGUCCAAAAUCUUCAGCUUGUGCAAACAAAACAAGAGCGUGAGGUUCAUCUUGGGCAGAAAGUCCUGCUGACAGCAGUUAUUUGGUUUCACAGAGAAGGAAAGUUCACCGUGGGCUAUUUAAAGUUUACAUGUAUCUUCCACAAACCUGUCAAACAUGUCAGGUUGUUGAGAUUUGCAAAGUUGAGACAAAUGCCUCUUUUUGAGAUGUGCGGUAAUAACUUUCAAGUUGCUGUGGAAAAGUUGACUAACUGGCCGGCUGAAAAGUCUCCUGCCAGGGGAGGAAAAGAAAAACAGUUCAGUUUUUUGCCAGUUCCGUCAUCUGGGAUCCUUCUCCACAUCCGCUGGGACGUGACACAGGCCCGUGUGAAGUGAAGGUCACCUUGGAAUAAACACGUCAUCAAAGGGAAGUUUCAUAAAGAGUUCUGCUCUUUUAGGCAUCUCUUCCCAGGAAAUGAAUCUUUGUACUUUUGGACUUGCAGGAACAGAAGAUUGUUAUGGGUGGCUGUGCAUCUUCCACUAAUCAGAAGCAGGCAGCAGAUUUUGGAGAAAAAAACCUACACCACCUAAACAGCACCAAGCAGCAGAGAGACUCAAUUAGAGCUUGGGUGGCGAGCAUAUUUGAGCUUUUAGCAACUGAAGUGACCUCUGAAAAGUGAAACUGGUUGACUUCUGGUGACUCACCCAGAUUGCAGGCUUGGCUGUUGAGGGCGUAGAGCUGCUGCUGAUAGGCCCACUCCUCGUCGUUGGGAGCGGAGAUAAUGAACAGGCGACGUCUCCAUCGGAACCUGCAAUCACAGAAAAUUUGAGUCCGGAUUUAAGUGGCAGUUUGGUCCCGCAGUGAGAGUGCUGUACCAAGACAAGGAGUUUGUGCUUGUGUGCUACAUAUUCCCCCUAUUACUGCCAGAGGGUGACAACCCGGAAUUAUGGUCAAAAACCUGCCAGAUCUCUACACUGUGUUCGGGGGGAUUCAGGUCUCUAUGGCAACAAAAGACAGCCUGUCUUUAGA